CGGGGGCGUGGCGAAAUUGGUAGACGCACUGGAUUUAGGUUCCAGCGCCGCAAGGUGUAAGAGUUCGAGUCUCUUCGCCUCAGCCA
rnacentral:tRNA from 1 species